rnacentral:tRNA from 1 species
GAGGGUGUAGCUCAGCGGUAGAGCACUUGCCUAGCAUGCAUGAGGUCCUAGGUUCAAUCUCCAGUACCUCCA